rnacentral:tRNA from 1 species
AGAAAGAUAAGCUAAUAAAGCUAAUGGGCUCAUACCCCACAAAUGAAGGUUAAUUAUUACCCCUUCUCUUUCUA